UUUUAUAUGAGAGUUUGAUCCUGGCUCAGGAUGAACGCCGGCGGUGUGCCUAAUACAUGCAAGUCGAGCGUACUGGCCCAACCGAUAUGACGUGCUUGCACUGAAUUGACGUUGGAUUCCCAGUGAGCGGCGGACGGGUGAGUAACACGUGGGCAACCUGCC
rnacentral:rRNA from 1 species